CAGACAGAGAUACAGAGGUGGAAACUUUAGAUGAGGCUGUAAACACUUCAGACAUCAUGAUCAUUAACUUCAGUGACAACAGUCAGGCGCCACCCUGAGGCCACGAGGAGCAACUACGACGAUACCAACUCUUCUAAACAGCUGAACGGUUUUAUACGCAAUCAUUAUCAGGUGCAGGUGUUGUGACCUCUGACCUCGGUGACAUCACAGUGCUGACACUGAUGACUCACCAGGUUCUUCAUGGGAGAGAGGAGCUCUUUAGAAAAGUCCGCCAGGCGGCAGAAGGCGGAGCCGACCUCUGACUCUCCGUUUGAGUGACAGUUGACCGACAGCUUCUCCAUCGAGUUGAUGUACUGCUCCAGCUUUCUUCAUCUUCUGCAACACCAACCGGUCACUGUCCAGAACCUGAACACAGAGCACACAAUGGGAAUCAGCUGAAAUAAAAGACAUAAACUACAGAAGAGAUUCCACUUGCUGACUAGAAACAUCACAAACUGGACCAGGACAGGAAGGUUCUGCAGUGGGAGAUUAAAACCAACCAGAACAUCACUGGUACCAUCUACAGAGUGACAUUGGUGAGGUGAGACGUCUGCACAGGGCCCAGAGGAUACAAGAAGAUCACACAGUCUGUUUACCCUGCUGCCAUCUGACAGAAGAUACAGAAGUAUCUGCUGCUGCACCAACAGACGAGACAGCAGCUUCACUCCUGCCAAUAAAUCCACUG